rnacentral:lncRNA from 1 species
AAAGACUUGGGAAUCAAGAAGUAAAAUCCCUAUUUCUGCAUCUGAUUUUUAUGCAGGAGGAUCCCUUAAUGCUCUAUCUAAUGAUAAAAUCAACAACCGAAGAGAGAAAUACCUAGAUUUAUUUUGGAUGAACCUAUCCUUAUGUAGUCAGAUGCACCAGUAGUGUGUAUUUCUGUUUGUUUACCAUAAUAAAGUGUGAUUGCAAAGUUGUGAGGUUGACUGAAGAGUAUAAAGACAGUUGCCCUGAUGGGUUUUGGUGUGACAACCGAGAACCGUCGUGCGCUUACGCCCCCUGAGAUGUUCCAACGGUAGAGUUGAGAGCUUAUUGCAAAACAUCAGAGAGUUACCGAUUUCGACAUGAUGCCGGCUGCAUUCACCUUCCGAGUAACACAGUCUUCGCAAUGUAUUCGAGGUAUAACCCGAGGUGGUUAGCGGUCGUUGGUGGGGGUUGCGGGUGAUCGAGAUGGACGAGGAGGAGGACGGGGAAGACGAAGAGGACAAAGUGGACGAGGAGGACCAGGAUUUGUGCACGGUAUAACCCGAGGUAGUGAUCGGUGGUUGUUGGAGGUGGUUGGCGGUGGUUGAAGAUGGUCGGAGGUUAUCGAGGAGAAGGACGAGGAUUUGUGCUCGGUGAAUUUAA